CUAUUAUUAAAAACAAUUGUUAUUAAAACAAUUGGUAUUAAAACAACUAUACAUUCCAACAACUAUUUGUUAAAGUAACUAUUUAUUCAAAACAACUAAAAAGUAAU